rnacentral:misc_RNA from 1 species
UUUCCGUAGGUGAACCUGCGGAAGGAUCAUUAAUGAGUUGUCAUGGGGUACGAUGCUGGCAGCCAGUUUUUGGAUGCAUGUGCUUGCCCUAACAAUCAUCUUCUUCCAAACACCUGUGCACAUUUUUGAGGGAGUCUUGAGUUGGUUGCCGCUCUUGGGUGAUUUUCUCACAUUCCCUUAAAUCAUUAUACGCUAUUAACAAUGUUGAACGUGCUCUGUACCGCAAGGCCAUUAAUAUAAUACAACUUUUAACAACGGAUCUCUUGGCUCUC